CUCAAAUGUUUAACUUGAAAGAAUAAGCUCUCGAGUCCCGAUAACAUUCACUCUCUCUUUGCGCAAAUUUUCGCCCCUGAACCAGCUAAACAUGCUCGGCGCUGCCACCGGAAGACGACCGAUAUGAAAUCAUUUCUAUCGGAGUUCUAAUCGAAAGUGAGAUGAAACUUGCAAUAGACCGAAAAGUAAAAUAUGAGGCGCAGGCACCUCAAAUCCGCAGGAUACGAAGCGAGUGAGAAAGAAGUAAGAAAAGGAGACAGAAAGUCGAGGUCUGGACUCUUAUCUCUUCAACUGAGCUCUCUUCAUCUUCGCUGAGCGGCUUCCAUCCAUGCUGUAACCACUGCUCUGUGCUGCGGUAUUAGUGGUGAUUAUCUUGAAAUGCAACGGAAUGUGAUUUUAGUGUAAAGAAAAUCAAAAAAGUUGGAUCCUCGCAUCAUGCAAACCGGCCACCGAUUGUUGAGACUGGUACCACCGUCGCCUGCGACCCCGAAACCAACCGCAUCGUCUCCCUCAUCGACCGAGAGAAAGAGAGAGUGGGUAUUUUGCAGAGAAAGAUCAUUUCAAUUAGGCACUUCGUAUCGUACAGUGUAUUUGUCGUGUUUCUUAGACCUACUUGGAAAAUAACUACCUAUAUUAGUCCUUAAAUGAGAUUCUCACCUCAAUCUUUAACAAUUUUUUUUAAUAAAUUGAUAAAUUUUAUUAAAAUAAUAAAUUCAUAUUAACUUUUGAUAAUUUGACUUUAGUAAUGAAAAUAAAUAAAUAUAUAUAAAAAUUAGUGCAAAUUAAUUUUUUUAAUAAAUUUUUAUUAAUAAUUUAAUAAGUAACUAUUUAUAAAAUGAUAAAUUGAGUUACGUUUUUAACAAGUAAUGGUUUAAAAAAUAAAAACAAAGUGUAUAAUGUAUAUAAAUUUGUAAACUAUAUUAUUAGAAAGUAUUGAUAAUUUAAUGACUAUUAAUUCUUUUGGUAAUCAAAAAGUUAUGGGUUUAAAACUCUUCUUAGCCACUUUAAAAAUUUAAUUAAUGGUCAUUGAUGUUGGAGCUAUAACACCGGUGGGAAAUUUUUCAAAAAAAAAAAUGAGGAUUACUUUUUUCUUCUCAUACUAAAUUUUAAUUACAUUUAUAUUUUUUAAUUCUGCAAAAUAAUUUCAAAAUUAUUUGAUCUUUUUUAACAACAAAUUUUUUUAAUCAAUCUUUGGAUAUGAUUUUUCCUUAUUUCUUCUCUUCGCAUUAUAUCUUUUUUUUAAUAUUAAAAGACAGGUCAGAAGACUUGGAGAUACAACUAAUUAAUAAGUUACAAAUUGUUUAUCAGCCUCUAAAUAGGCCAUGUAUCCAGCAACAGGUUCAUAUAAAAUACAGAAAUAAAAAACCCAUUAUGAAUCUCAUGGUUAGACUAAUGAAUCUCAACCUCCCAAUCUAAGACAAUCAGCUUUUAUAUCUCUGUAAUGUCAAGUCUUAAAGGAUGAUUAAGACCCCUACCCAUUUGGAUCAGGUGAAUAGCUUCCAAAGAGUUAGAAUGAUAGACAAUUUUAUUCACCUGAUAACGCUUACAAAGCUUAAGACUCAGAUGCAAUGCAAAAGUUCUGCUAUAGUAGAUGGAACAAACCUCAAUCUGCUUUGAAAGCCUAAGAUCCAAUUACCUUGUGAAUCCCUUAGGACUUCGCCACACGUUGCAUCUCCUUAGCAGUUCAUUGAUCCAUCCACGUCUAAUUGAAGAUAGCCCAAGUAAAUUGGUCCUUAUGAUCUUGUGUAGACCGUGAUAGGUGGACCACACAAGUGAGCUCAAUGGGCAGAGGCCAACCCACAACCCAGUAACCAUCAGUUAUUUCCUAUCUCUUAACUGACUGAGUCAGAGAUAAUAAAUAAUAUAAUUAUUUAAUUAUUUAAUAAGGCAGUUACAGAUCUGAUUAAUAUAAGUCGAUCAGUCGAUAACCACAAACACACAACUCAUUUUUUUCUUCUGCUCUAUUAACUCUAAACUCUCCGAAGACUCUGGGGGCCAGUGGGUUAUGCACCUGUCUACACUCAAGGUAAUCUAGUCUUCUCAAGCGCUUAUGAAUUCUUCAGGUACGCAUACAUUACUUUACUUAUUCAUAUGUAUUGAGAUAUACAAAAUUAACACAUGGUAUCAGAGCCAAGUUAACGAAUUCUAAAUUUAUAUAUCUCAAUUCUUCUUAUGUAUAUAUUGAUAUAUUGAUAGAGAUUCAUGCUCAUGUUGAUAAAUUUCUUUAUGAUCCAUAUUACUCAGGAAAUGAGUAUGAAUAUGAGUUUUGAAUAGGAAAAUUUUGGUCUUAAAUCUUAUUAUAUUUAUGAUAAAAAAAUUCUUGACGUCAUUUUCUUCACUGUGCGCUUCACGGAGUUCUCCUUCACGGCGUCAAAACUGUUCUUCCUCACUGUCAAAUUGCCAACGAGAGGGGGUAGUUCACGGCGUCGUCCUCCUUCAUGGCUGUCGGAAGCUGUUCGGUACGCGGCUUUGACAAAGACAGCUCUUUCUUGCAAAUCACUGUUUCACCGUGUGCUAUUGUCGAAAAAAAAGGUUUUGGACUGCUGCGUCGUCAUUGGAAGUUUAUGUCACCGCAGUUCAGGCAUUGCCGUCGUAGGUCUGCUUCGGCGUCGUCUGGAGUUGGCGGCGCGGUGGAGGUUCUGGAGCUGGGGACGUCACUGCCAUUCCGACAACCGCUGCACGCCGGCCUCCCCUUUGGUCCUCGUUUCUAGCUCGCGGCUGGAGAAGACCCAGAAUAGUUUCUGCUUUUAUGCAACUAUCUUUUGUGAAGGCUCUCAAUGAGACUAACUAUGAUGACUGGAAAGAGUCCCUAAAUAUGUAUUUGGCCAUUUCUAAGAAAGAUUUAGCUUUGAGAGAGCCCAAGCCUGCGGAUCUCUCUUCCAAGUUCAGUGCUUCUGAAAUGGCCUUCCAUAAACAAUGGAGUGAGUCCAACCAGAUCUCUCUUGCGAUCAUCAAGUACACAAUUGAGAAGAGAAUUAGGGAUAGUAUUCCUGAAAAGGAUACUACAGUGGAAUACUUGAAAGCUGUUGGUAAUAAAUACAAGAAGCUUGACAAGACUCAAAAGAACUACUAUUUGUCACUUCUUGACAAUACUCGAUAUGAUGGAGUUUCUGGUGUCAGGGAGCACAUUCUGAAGCUUGUUCAUUACUAUAACAAGCUUAAGUCAUAUGGGAUUGAUUUGGUCAAGAGUACCUUAGUUUAUCGUGUUCUUCAAUCACUGCCAUCAGAGUAUACAUUCUUGAGGACCUCAUACAACUCACAAGAAGCUGAAUGAUCUAUUGACCAGAUGAUAUCAAUAAUCACUCAAGAAGAGGAAACUAUAAAGAAGAAUUCCUCUCACUCAGUAAAUUAUGUUUCUCAUGGCUCUAGCAGCAAAUCUGGAGGGUCGUAUAAGAAAAAGGGGAAGAAGCAUAAUGCCCCAAAGCCUAAUAAUCCAACCUUUUAGAAGAAUGGUGAUAAGAAUGAAAAGCUGAGGAAGAAACCCUUUAAGGGAUUAUGCAAUUAUUGCAAGAAACUGAGUCACAUUAAAGUUAAUUGCUUCAAACUAAAGAACAAAGAAAAAAGUAAAGGUACAAUUCUUCAAACUGCCCUUCUAGCUCUAGUUUGUUUUGAAUCUAACACCAUUGAAACUUUCUUUGACUCAUGGUGGCUGAAUUCUGGUGCCAUUGUACAUGUUGUGAAUUCUCUACAAGGGUUAAGAAACCAGAAGAUUCCAAGUGAGGCACAGAAGUUAGUCUUUGACAUAACAGGGAGCAAGGCAUCAGUUGAAUGCAUUAGAACUAUCUCUUUGUAUUUAAAUUCUGGUCAUAUUUUACAUUGAAUAAUGUUGUUUAUGUACCUUUUGCAAAG